rnacentral:rRNA from 1 species
AUUGAACGCUGGCGGCAUGCCUUACACAUGCAAGUCGAACGGUAACAGGUCUUCGGAUGCUGACGAGUGGCGAACGGGCGAGUAAUACAUCGGAACGUGCCCGAUCGUGGGGGAUAACGAGGCGAAAGCUUUGCUAAUACCGCAUACGAUCUACGGAUGAAAGCGGGGGAUCUUCGGAGCUCGCGCGGGCGGAGCGGCCGAUGGCAGAUUAGGUAGUUGGUGGGAUAAAAGCUUACCAAGCCGACGAUCUGUAGCUGGUCUGAGAGGAUGAUCAGCCACACUGGGACUGAGACACGGCCCAGACUCCUACGGGAGGCAGCAGUGGGGAAUUUUGGACAAUGGGCGAAAGCCUGAUCCAGCCAUGCCGCGUGCAGGAUGAAGGCCUUGGGGUUGUAAACUGCUUUUGUACGGAACGAAAAGCCUCUUUCUAAUAAAGAGGGGUCAUGACGGUACCGGAAGAAUAAGCACCGGCUAACUACGUG